CGGAGGGUGCAAGCGUUAUCCGGAGUUUACUGGGUUUAAAGGGUGUGUAGGCGGGCUAUUAAGUCAGCGGUGAAAUCUCCGGGCUCAACCGGAAACUGCCAUUGAUACUAUUAGUCUUGAAUGUUGUUGAGGUGGGCGGAACGGGUCAUGUAGCGGUGAAAUGCAUAGAUAUGACCCGGAACACCGAUUGCGAAGGCAGCCCACUAAGCAAUGAUUGACGCUGAGGCACGAAAGCGUGGGGGAUCAAACAGGAUUAGAUACCCUGGUAGUCCACGCCCUAAACGAUGAUUACUCGACGUUGGCGAUACACUGAUCAGCGUCCAAGCGAAAGCAUUAAGUAAUCCACCUGGGAAGUACGUUCGCAAGAAUG
rnacentral:rRNA from 1 species